rnacentral:tRNA from 1 species
GCGCUCGUAGCUCAGUUGGAUAGAGCAUUAGCUUGCGGAGCUAAAGGUCGCAGGUUCGAGUCCUGCCGGGCGCACCA